rnacentral:lncRNA from 1 species
UGUUGUAGGCCUAGAAUUUUUGAUGCAAUUAAUUUAUGCUCAGCCCAUUUAAUCCCAACCAAAUAGAGAGGCAAUUGGUUAUGGCAGAUUUUUUUUUCACUUUGUGGUACAUAUAUACUAGCUCGAUAUAUUUUUUUUUCCUUUCAAUAUGCAUAUUCCUGCUCAAACAUGCAUCAUAUAUAUCGCCACAUCAGUGGCAUGUUUCUGAUUGCCAUGUCAAUGGAUGAAAUGGAUAUAUAGAAGCAGAUGCAGAUCAGCAACAAAAACGUUAGGAAUUCGAGUAAUCGUUAAAGAAAUAGCUACGAGUUUGUCCAACUCCUUUUCACCU